rnacentral:lncRNA from 1 species
GAGAACAUUUAUAAAUGCGAGCACAGCAAUUACCUUAUCAGAAAACGUGAAAAGGCAUUAGUGAAUGUUCUUUUUUUUUAAAAACAAAGGUAAUCUUGUCAUGUCUGAUCAAUCUGUGAUAUAAAGUAGUUUGAUUUGUUCCGGAAUAUCUUAUUUACUGACUGAACGACUACUGCAGAUAAGACAGAUCUGCCCGUGUGUCACAUCUCGGUGACAUUGUUGACCGACGUGCAUUGUAUAUAGUCUGGACAACCAACAUCCGGGCUUUUCUGCACUCAUUCCUUUCCGAGCAUGCCCGGCGUUUAAUGAAACCUUUAGUGAACCUCUCUGAACGACAAGAGUCGAAAACUUUCGUGCCAAACUAUGAGUGCACGAACGUGCGCUUUUAUAAUCAGUUUUGUUUUGACAAGGUGGAAAGUGAAAAUAUAGAUAAACGCAUUGCAUGUAAAGAGCUAUCACUAAAACUUUACAUUGCUAUUCUUCUUAAAUUCUCCAUAUUUUUUCACAUUUAAAAUUACAUACUCC